UCCUCUCCUGCCAGGCAUAGCCCCGGAAU
rnacentral:sRNA from 1 species